UUUUAAUUAAACUUGUUUAUAUUUUGAUCAAAAGAUUAAUUCUCAACGCUUCUGCUGAAUUAGAUAUGCAUGAGAUAAAAAUUUAAAUUACACACUGUGUCAGCUAUAUAAUCAAUCAAAGAGAGAGAUAUUAAUUACCAUAAUAAGUAGUGCCCCAACCAACUACAGUUGGUCUGGCGCCGGCGAACGGUUCCCCGCGAAAUCGCGCCUGCGGCAAGCAAAUGGGUAUUAUGUACGGUGACCUUCUUACUGGUCUGGUGAGCUCGAGGACGGCGAUGUCGUUGUAAAACCCGACGCGCGAGAACUUUGGAUGCGCGUGGAUCUCCUUCACCGCGUAGGUUUCCGGCGAUGAGGGUUCGUCAUCCCUUUCCAGAUCGAUGUCGCCAAGACGUACCGUGAAUUGACGAGCAGCGAAGCUCUAUUAUUGGAACGUUUCUUACGGCCGCUGUCGCUGAUCUCGAGUGCAAUGAGCAGCGGUAAGGAUGUGGUGCGGUCCUACCAGAGACCCUCCGCACCAGAACUCCGUUCGUCGAGAACCAUGAAGGAAGAUCGCCGCCAUCCAGGGCCAACGACCGGGCAACGCUUCCUCGCCUCCGACCACACGGUCUUAUAGUCGAGGACGUUACCGGGUACAACGGAAUCGGACGUGGUGUAAGGGGUUUCGUGGGUCGAAUCGGUGGUCGUGGAGAAUGUCCACUGUCAGUUCCAGAAAUCGCAUCUCCACCGACAUUUCUGAAUAGAGGGAAUGUCAGCUUUAUCCAAUGGACAACAAACUCCUGGCACGAAUAGACUCUUAAAGCACAAAGAUUGCCUCAGCUUAGUGAGAUCGAGUAACAAUUGCGGACAAUUGCUGAGAUCCUGGCACUUUCCCGGUGCACCCUCGGCCGUUGUGCACGCGGAUAGAGUGGACUCCUUGUCUCUGUUCGACAGUUUUUCCGCAGUUUGCUGCUGCUGCUGCUGUUGCUCUUGAACUGGUGCUUCACUUGUGGAGGAUGUAAUCGUUUGUCUUAGUGGCAAUGCGACACCGCGCACCAAAGGUGCGAUGCUAUCUGUCACGUUGCGACCUAGAAAAAGAAUAUUCUUGGAGAUGGUGUACAACGCCGAGGGUAGUUCCUUGGGCGGAUAAUUCGAGAUCUCGACGCCCCUCGUCAUAUUGACGAUAUAGUUGCCCACGGUGUUUAAGGCGCCCAAGGUCUCGCUGAUGGUCACCAAAGGAUCGCUCUGCUCUUGCUCGACCUUCACCAGCUGCGUGUAGGGACGUACUUGCGUGUCCCUGCGAUAUAUCGGCCUGUCUGAUCUGCUCGGUCCAGCUCGAUCCCAGGAGUGCGGCCAUCCUCUCGUCGGCGAGAUAAGUCUCGAGACGCACCAGAUGGAUUUAAAUAGUCGAUAAUUGAUGAUGUACACGACCCAUCAAGGUGAUCAUAUAUUACGAAUGACGUUUACAUUAAACGUGUCUUGUCAGGAUGAAAAUUACUUACGAUCCCCAUGAUGCUGCGGACGCGCGAAAAUUAUCUCCAUGUUUAUUCAUGAAGAAUUACGAAGUCAUUCGUAAUAAUCUGUCAUCGGGAAUACCGAUUUAACACACGUCGUCCAUAAUAAACAGACGUGUAUCGCAUUAUGCAAGAAAUGGAAACGCAUGCACAGCCAUAUCCGACUUUCCGAUUUUCUCAGAAAUCUGUCGAAAUCUCAAAAAUAAAAAUCAUAUCUUUCCUUGCUGAAGACAAAGGAAGGAACGAGACAAUGGCUGAUUAUAUUAAUGGUCUCGAAAAAAAAGAAAUACAGUCAGUUUUGAAGUAACAAUCGUGACCUACUUGCUAAGAGGGAAAUGUUUUUUUAAAUUACAGAUCGGGAUCUUAAAAAAUCAUAUACGCGCGAAUGACACUUCCUCGAGCCUUGAGGUCCGGGAUCGGGGGAUCGAAUAAAAUGUAUAUAAUUAAAAAAUUACGUGUCCAGAUCGUGUGGAAGCAAGAUCCUUCGGAAACUGGUUAUGAACGCGGGUCUCCUCUCAUUGACGGUGAAAGUUGCCCAGCGUGAAAGUGUGCCUUUCUUCUUCCGUUCACUGAUUCACGUCACCGUGAUAUGUCGGAGGAGCGACAAAGACAAAGAUUUAUCCUUCGGAGGAAAUAGUAAGGGGGAAAUCCAGCUGUACAAGUUGUUACAAGGACCCCUUCUUCUGAUAACACGUGUAUCUGGAUUAUCCGAGUAACUCUCGCAAACAUGCAUGCGGGUUGAAUAACGUCAAAGUUGCAAUUGUAUGCUUGUCUCUCGUGUGCGACCGAGAUUACCGCAGUUAUACAUUAUAAUUAUGUCGCUAUUAUUACUGUAAACAAUAGCGAUGUAUAAUUAUGAUGUGUAACUGUGAUAUAAAUCUGUGUCAUACUUUGGUGACUUUUGAGACUUUUUUCUAUCUUCCGAAAAAUUAUCGAAUCUGUUUUUCAGUACAGAUUUCAAUUUCAAUUUUUUAAAACAAAAAUGUC